GGACCGGUGGUACAGUGGUAGAACACUCGUGAACUACGUCGAUUCACAGGGGCCCUUUUCCCGACGGGGUGAGGGGCUCUUGGGGGUCGUGGAAAGCUGGCCAGUUUUCACAACGAGAGACCUUGGUUCGAAUCCAAGCUGGUCCG